rnacentral:rRNA from 1 species
UACGUAGGGUGCGAGCGUUAAUCGGAAUUACUGGGCGUAAAGUGUGCGCAGGCGGCCGCGCAAGUCGAGUGUGAAAUCCCCGAGCUUAACUUGGGAAUUGCGCUCGAAACUACGUGGCUGGAGUGUGGCAGAGGAAGGUGGAAUUCCACGUGUAGCGGUGAAAAUGCGUAGAGAUGUGGAGGAACACCGAUGGCGAAGGCAGCCUUCUGGGCCAACACUGACGCUCAUGCACGAAAGCGUGGGGAGCAAACAGG